UCCUUCGGGAUUCACCAGUUUUGUGUUCCCUUUGGAUUCACCAAUUUUGUGUUUCCUUUGGGAUUCAUCAGUUCUGUGUUUCCUUCGGGAUUCACCAGUCUGUGGGAAUACUUAACUACAGUAGAAUAUGACCCAGUCUCUUGCCUGUUUCAUGUGUUUAUGUGCAUAGGUAAAGGUAAAGAUGUAGCGGUGAUGGCGCAGCGGAAUUUGUGAUCGUGUCAUUGGGACUAGUUUUUUUUGCUUCCGCAUGAUGAAAUUUAGAGUCUUUAUUUUUCCUUAAUAUUUAGUUUUACUGUUUGAAAUUUAUUACUAAGGAUUAUUUCUUUUAUAUACUUUUAUUAGUACACAUUUUGGGUACCCUAUUAUUGUUUUAA